AAAUGACUAAGCGCUAAGGCUGCUCAAAUAUCACCCCUGUAGCACCAAUAAAAAACCCAUAACUCCUGGCCUGGCAGAGAACUGUGGCCAGCACGCUGAGGAAGGGAUGGUUAUAUUACCCAACCACGGGUUACAAAUGGCUUUGUAAUCAGUAUCUUCCAUACCCAGCUUAGCCCGAGUGGCCCUCAAGCCAGCACAGCCCCGUGGCAGACCAGAGGCCUUCCACUUCCUGGAAAGUGGAUGUCUGAGAAUUGAUCAUUCCUGGAGCUAGCUCUCUCAGAGCUCCGUUCCGUCUCCAUUCAACCUGAUGCUAACGACAGCAGGGUCUGGCUGGCCCCACUUCUACCAUAAAGUCUUCAAAACGAGAUUUGCUAGAAGCCACAGAAGCAAGGAGCGCAUCUUGUAAGGAAGUCAUGGCAACAGGAAGUGUCUGAGGCUGCGGGGAGCAGGUGGGGUCCUGACGGUGUGAGGCCUGAGUCCUCAGCCAGCACCACAUCGCCUGUGUGUCAGGAGAAGAUUCCCAGUGAGGUUGGUACAUGCCCCGACUGUAGAAACAGACUGUGUGGUGAAGAGGGACGUGCCUCAAGCUAUGGUGCUUACCCAAGAGCCCAGAUGUGGGGUCACCCUGCUGCCUCAGCUAUCAGAACCUUAAGGGUUCCCAGUGAAGAUGAAAGAAAGACAAAUAAUAAAGACCAUUUGAUCCAAGUGCUGAAGAUUUUUUACAGAUAUGCCACUUCAGGUCUCUGCUCAAGGAUAAACUAUUUCAAAACUCUCUA